GACGAACGCUGGCGGCGUGCUUAACACAUGCAAGUCGAGCGGUAAGGCCCUUUCGGGGGUACACGAGCGGCGAACGGGUGAGUAACACGUGGGUGACCUGCCCUCAGCUCUGGGAUAAGCCUGGGAAACCGGGUCUAAUACUGGAUAUGACUCCAUGACGCAUGUUGUGGGGUGGAAAGCCUUGUGCGGCUGAGGAUGGGCCCGCGGCCUAUCAGCUUGUUGGUGGGGUGANGGCCUACCAAGGCGACGACGGUA
rnacentral:rRNA from 1 species